UAGUAAAGCUAGGGGUGCCAUUGAAAAAAGUGGCUGAGAGGUGAAUUCCAACUCUUUGAACCUGAAUUGGUUAAUGCCAACGGAGGGAAGCUUGUAAACGACUUA
rnacentral:ncRNA from 2 species